AUCCAACCGACAAGUCCCAUAUAGGACGAAACGUAAGUCCUGGAU
rnacentral:hammerhead_ribozyme from 1 species